AAAGUGAAUUUACUGGGGGCAACACUAAAAUUAAACAUCAAGAAAAGUCGCAAGAAGCAGAAUUACAACAUGACAGUGAAACAAAUCAAAAAGUAGUUUUGUAGUAGUUUUUUACUAUUAAAAGUAGUAAUGUAAAAUUAUGUUGGAUGAAGCCUAGGACCAAUUUCCUUGUGGAACAACCUCUUAGAACAAAACUUUGUUCCUCUUCACACAUAUAACUCGCAACAACUCCUGAAUCUAUUUUCACUGCCUUUUCUACUCUGCUCUCCACAUCACUAAGAUCAUCCCACUACCAUAAACACAAAGUGGAGUCAGGAAUGCCCAAAUAAUUAACAGUGUUAACAGCGAAACAUACCCGACAAUUAACGUGGGGGGAAGGAUGCCUGUUAAGUGAGCAGGACCAAAGGCAGCAAUGUACAGGAAACACAUCUACAUGAGAACUUCACCCUAGUCAUUUUCUGCCCAGCAGGAGAGCAAGCCAGUUUAAGAACAAAACAGGACAGUAUUAUGGAGAUAACCAAGCCCAGCUAGGCAAAGAAAAACAUAUAACCCUAAGACAAAUUCUGCAUUUGUCACCGGAGGGCACAGGGUCACAAAACCUCACCUACCAGAAAUGAGGUAUCAGAAUGAGUCAGCUAUCUCAGCUGUCUUCGCUUAUAAAGUUGUCAUACGUCUGGUGUGAGAUAAAUCUUACUUUUAAUUGCCACGUAUAUUCUAAAGAACAUCCUUUAAAAUCUGACUUGCGUGCAAUAACAAGUCUGAACGCACAGGACAGGAGCCCAAACUGUAACUCUGUCAAGUAACAUUAGAUGGUUCAAAGACACAACGGGGAUGGGAGGAAUCAUCUCUGUUUUUAUUACAGGAAUUAUUGGGAAGGGGGUGAGGAAGUGCAAUAAUAAAGCUUACAGAGAUGCCGUUUUCUCUCUCUCUCUGUGCCAACACAUUGCACUAAGACAACUCAAGUUUGUAUUUUAUGGAAAACAAAAGCCCUUUACAAACAGAAGCAAAACAUACAUAUAAAAGCCCUGACAUUAUAUUCAGAAAGAGAAAUCUGACACCAAAUCCCAACAAAAAGGCUCCUCAGACGCAUGAACUUCUGAGUGAAAGGCAAGGCAAUCACCACAAAUGGAACUCGGCGCUUGAUACUCCAUUAUCCACUUAGCUGUAUCCAAAUACUACUAGGUCUUUUGUGUGCUUAAGCAAAAGAAAUGUCUUAUUACUAAUUUUGCAAUUUUCACUCUUUACAGGUAUACAUAUUACUUUCUAACCUGUGGAUUUGCAUACACAUGGAUGAAAACAAUUGGUUUAACGUACAAGGGCAUGCACUGCAACACAGAACUCCGGGCGACGGCAAUAAUGACAAAAGCGAGAUAUUCCAAUAAACUGAAAUGUAGAUUAAUCACCUCUACUGUUUAAUUCUACAUAAACACAACUCAGUGAAUAAGCACAGAGUUAGAUUUCUACAGCCUACGUGUACAAGCAGAAGAGCUCAACUGUGCGUGGAAACCAAGUGCCACGCUGCAAAGCAGCACGGUGCAGGAGGAACGGGGCUGGGAGCGCGGCGAAACGCAGGUUCUCUUCCGCACUUACUAUUAAGGCAAUGUCACGUUUAACCAGCUGCUUCUCACUGCCGUGAAGAAUAUGAGGAUGUUUAAAAUAUUUGGCACGUUUCGUGUUGUCAGAAUUUGUCACAGUACACCAGAAUUUGCCCUGGCCCCAAUGUUUAAGCUAAAAAAGAUACUGCAUUUGUUAAGUGUGUUGAAAACAACUUUUGUUACCAUGCCCACUCUUUUUUUGCGUUUCACCUUGCCAAAUACACAAUUUUUUAAUUCAGUGACAGAUUUAGUACACUGUAGAUCUUCAGAGAAGUAUUUCCCAGGGAUAGGCUGACAUCACCAGCCAUGCACAAGGCAGACAAGAAGAGUCAUGUUAAUUUUGAGCUCCAUUAAGCACAGGAAAGGAAGAAGGAAACAAAUAAAAAAAUCUUUACCAACUUGUAAAAAAAUCAGCAGAUACUCAGAAAAAAAAAAAUCAAGAAUUUUUAAGUAGCGUUACACAUAGCUGACAGGCUUUCAAAAAACCUUGACUAAAGAACUGAAAAAAGUCUGAAUAUUUGCUUUAUUUUGUGCACAAAAGAAUGCGAGGAGACAGGCUGUUUGCUAAUCAGUCACCUACUGAUAAAGUGAAUCUCGGGUUACUCGGAGUCAAUUGGUGUCUGGUAACAGUUCACUUUACUGAUCAUCAAACAGGUCUUGAAUAGAUAAAACCAGUCUUUUUCUUAAAUAGGAGAUAGCGACACGACAGAGGCUGUCCUGGCACUGAAGUAAACCAGGCGUCACUCCGAAGUUGCUAUGCGACUUGCAUUCAUACGGUACCGCUAUUUGGAAACACAUUUUGAAGAGAAUGGAGGUUAAUUUUGCAAUGACUAACUCGUUUCAGCCUUGAUUGUACUACGAGCUAAUGCAGCAAAGUUCUUAUCUUGAAUUAAGCAGGGUGUACAUAAAGGACUGCCAAAUCGAUACGCAAAAGAACACAGCUACCAAGACAGAGCUUUCAUCCCGUCAGAAUACAUCCAUCAGCUUACAGAACCGCUUCUGCCCAGGAAAGGUUCCCAACUCAGCCCUCUCGGAUAACAUACGGCUCUCCACGCACUCCAGCACCGCUUGCUGACAACACGGGCCAGGCUAACAAAAUACGCUGUAAUGCCAUCAUAGCAUUUCACUCACUUAGCUCCACUGCCCACAGGUUAACAAGAGCCUCGAGACAGCUGCUCUAGGCAGCUCGUGCUGUCCAAGUCCAGAAAGGCUCUAACAAAGAUGACUUUUUUUUUUUUUUUUUACAAUAGAUUUCUAGUAAAUCCAGCAAAACACACACAGGCCACCUUCAGAUUGCCUUUCCUGUGAUGCAUGCCACUGACUGAUAUAUAAGCAUGAGUGUGCAUGCAUCUCCUCACCUUCGAUGCUGCCAUAUGCUACAGCUCCAUCAGAAGUAUUUGGAGAAUCACGAGAAUACAAAAAUUAAAAAAAAAAUGCAAGUUGUUUCCAGCCAUACCUUCAAUUUCAUUUGGCCGAUAAGAGCCCUACAUCUCUCCAUCUACCAGGAAGCAAACAGGCAUCAAGUCAUAGUCCUAAGUCAAUCAUGCAAAACCAAGAAAAACUAUGGGUGCUAGGUUUUAUGUGAGAAACACAAACAUUUUAACUGAGAUAAUCCUUCUCUGGUUUAAAACAGAUCAGCCACCACAGGGAUUCGCGCUAACAUUUGUGACAGCAGUUGUUACAAAGCAGAACCCCCGGAGUACAUCCAAAGGAAAACAUACUUUUUUUUUCUGCUUAAAGACUCAAGAAGUAGUAAGCCAGGAGAAGGAGAAUCAACAAGUCGCAAGCAGGCGACUUGCACCACCAGUCUGUAGCAUUUACCCGUUGAUUUGUUACUGCAGCACUAAGACAGAAAAUCCUCAAAUGAAAGAAAGAAGGUAGAAAGUUCAGAACUGAUCUGCAGCUCUGGUUUCACGUUAGCGCUACAGAUUAAGGCCUGAAACAAAAAUGAGGAUAUCAGCUAGCCUUUGUUUGGGGUUUAAAGCUUUGAUGGCUUAAAAUAAAGCUCAACAGAUAGUCCAACAAAUCAAGCAAACCCAUUCUGCUCUGCUCACCUUCACGCUAUUAGCUGUCAUUCUGGUUUUAAAGGUUUCAACACUUUGGGUGUGUUUUUUAUUUUUUUUAAGCAAGUAAGAUCAUCGACUUCAGAAAAAAUUAAAGAGAUGCUACAGUUGCCUCCCAGAAAACAGCCUGGCUGUUAGCAAACUUUACUCCUGAUAGGACUACAGAAAAAGAAGCAGCCUUCUUCAGAGUAAAGUCCGGGAAAGUCUGUGUUUCCUUUGCCCUUUUGUCUCUCCAUCCAUAUUAAAAAGAAACAGAACUAUUCACUACUCGUGAAUCAGCCUCAGUGAUAGGGAACUGUGUAACCUUUGUAUCAGACAUCUGAGUGUAAGUGCUGACCUGGGAAGGUGGGCACAAGUGUUCUGCUAAGUCCUGAUGGUUCGGAUCGCACAGCUUCAGAACUGGUAUUGGUUACCUUGGAGUUCAUGGCACAAGGCUACUUCCUAACCUUUGGCCAAGAAACCAACCAUUUCUUUAAAAACCACGGUAUAGGGGACACAGCAGGGAUGAACACCAACGAGAAGAGGAAGGACUUGUAUUAUAUUCUUCCUCAGUGCCACAGACAUCAGCGCAGGGGGGCAUUCUCAAUGUGGCUUUGCAAACAGAAGCCCCGUAUGCAAGGCUCUACCGCGUGCGGAGUAAAAUGUAACGCCCGGGAACUCUCGUACCGCAGGCUGUGCCUUCACACCCAGAGGAAAGAGAACAUUACCUUCAGCACGUUUAAGGACCUUUUUACUCCUUAGAGGUUAAGGGCUAAGGAAUGUUGUUCGUAUACAGAACUGGAGACUUUCGGAAUAAUGAAGCUUGCAGUUGAUUUUGACACUUCUUACGGGCCUUCAGGGAGAAGGUAGUCCCCACAACACAUGGCAAGAACAUCCUUCCUGAGCGAAUCAGAUAGCUCGCACAGGCAGCCAAAGCGGAGUAUGCAGCUGAAAGAGAGACAUGCUUCUCGAAUCCUGGAAUCCUCUUUCAAAUUCUCCACGGGAUUUGUAAUCCAGAAGUUUGGUGCAUAUGCUAAAAAUGUUAAAGAAAAACAAGCUAAGAUUUCCUUAUUAAUUUAAGAAAUAAAAAUACCAAGUCUGAGAAGGCAGCACAGCCUGGUAAGAUUCCUCGCCCAUCUGUUAUGAUGAAAAGCAAAUUGCCUCAGCAACACUUCCCUGUUCCUGGACAGGUACACGAGGCAAGGCUGUAAGGGAGAAAGCAAGAGAGCAAGCAUGCCUCAACAGGCAUUCAAGGAGAAGGUCAUUUCAGCAAGAACUUAACCGGUCGAUAUAGACUGAACCACAAUACUUGCUACUGAAAAUAUGACACAGCAUUUAUUUGCUAGGAGAUUAUCAAACUUUUCCUACUCUGAAAGUUAGGAAAUGAACCGAACUCAUUUUGGUUUCAAGUAUCUAUGAAUUAAUUCUCUGUGAAUUAUUAGAAGAAAGGAUUCAAAGUCAGAAGAGAAUACACAUGAGUGGGGAGAUGAAUACCUGCGGAAAGAUCAUCACUGAUAAAGGAGAAUGCUUCUUCAAAUCCGAAAGCAUCAUUGGCUUGGAGCGUCCAUGUGAAGAAAGAAUAAUGGAAGAACAACAAGAAGAAAUAUGCUAGAAUGUGCCCACUAUCAAAGAGAGCAUACAGCCUGGGACAGGCAAUUAUGCUUUGGUCUGUCGUCAGAAACACAAAACAUUCUGAAAUUUCAGACAGGACCUUGUCUGUACCAUGGCCAUGCUCAUGACUACCAGAUCACUUCAUCACAACAUCAAGCACCUUUUCAGAGCAGCGACGUAAGAGCCAUUCAGAACUAGAAUGGCAGCUUCCCUCCAAGGUAGGAGGUCCAACAAGAGGGAAUUUAAUUGUAAAGGCAGCUGCCCUUCAAGUGCUGAAGCCAUUACUUACCAACUCCAAGACACAAAGAUGCAUCUACAUGUCUAACUGUUCUCUGAUGGAGACCAGGAACUGUUCAGCACUGCAAAACAGAUUUUCUCAUCUGUAACUGCAAAGGAAUAAGCAAAGCUUUUCAAGUGUGACUCUACAGACAAGACGGAGAAGCUGACGUGAAGGGCUGGCAGGAAGUCUUUUUAGCAUCCUCUGCCUCUUCCAUAAUUCCUGAGCAGGAAGCAACGCUGUCAAAUUUAAAGACCUCCUAUACAGUGUUACUUGGGAAGUAUUUUCUACAUCAAAAUACUCAAGAUAAAGCCCAUGACCUACAGAAGUUGAUGGCAAAACUCUUAUUCAAACAGAUACUACCACAAAUUAAAAAUCAAAGGCUUACUGGUCAAAGUCCCAAAGUCAAGACAGUCAACACUGACUUUGUGCCACCUGACAUACACCUUCAGUGCUGAAAUCUACUUCCAACUUUUUGUCUCCAUUAUUACAAUUCCAAGACCCAUUCUUCGGAUUUCUUCCUCUACCCGUUUUCCUGUUCCACUCCUCAAACAAUCUGACACUCGGGUUUUGUCUCCGCUUCUGCUUUACCAUCAGCAGCACAUCUACGCUGUUGCAAAGCCUCUUCCUACAAGAGCACGUAGCACAACUGCUGCACUUACUACUUUGGCCAAGAUGCAGGAAGGCAAGUGACAGCUUAGCUCCUUGAUGCAGAUGCAACGAUGCACCAGCAUGAGAGCUGAAAUCCCACGUAAGCAACGCUUCAGAAGCAAAUACAGUCCUGAAACCCUUCACCAGCAUUCCAGCAUCUUCACAGGUAUACUCGUAUUUACCUCUCGCUUCCGAUUGAGAAUUCGGAUCUACAUUCAGGAGAUAUCUUUCCAACCACAAACAAUGCUCUACGGCUAUUUUAUUUAAAACCCUGGAUGUAAAGCAUGCUGAACUGAGAGGUAAAGCUAAUAAAAGGCUAUUUGUGGGAAAGGUACGUAUUAAAAAUGAACAGCAAACAGCAAGCAGCGUUAAAAUGGUCUUCCAAAUCAUAAUGCAGUAAGCAGCCUAAGUAAAACGGGAGGAAUGGACACUUUCUGCCCCCUGCAGUUUCUAUUGCUAUCUCGAUUUUUAAGACAGCCUUAGGAGGGAUAGGUGGUACAUUAGCAUUCUAGAAACCUAACAAUUUAACAUCUGGCUACCUAGCACCAACAGCCAAAACAUUUUUUAUACCUAGGUUCAUUUGAAUAACUGUUAAAUUAAUCAACAUUUCCUAUUAAUGAUCACCUAGCUAUUUUGAAUGUUUUCUGCGGUAACUGAAUGACGUGAUUGUCCCUGGCUUUGCAACAGAAACAACGAUCACCUCUCACCAAACCUUUAUUUGACUUCUUCAUUUUGAUUAGCAUCAAGAACGGGAAUUCUCGCCAAUGAGCUGGUACUCUCAAGAAGUCAGAGACAUGCUCCUAAAAUGUAUAUAAACACACGCCCUAUAUAUUAUAUAUAAAGAAUAUACGUCUGUGUACAUAUAUAAUCCUAUAUAAAGGAGAGUGGAUUUUCUAGCUAUUAGACUGCAAACAGUCCUCAAAACAGAGAAUGCUGUUUAUGAAAUUUUACAUUUAAAGCUGCAAGGCAUACAUAUGGACGGAGAUUUCGGUAAAGAAAAAAUUUACAGAAGGUCUCACGUCCACAUGCAGGAAUGCCAAGUACCGUUACUGCUUAUACACUUUCUUCAAUCUUUAUGAAUGCAGACUGGGAACUGAACCCCAAAUUCAUCCAGCCAAAGUGUCUCCCUGUCUGUGAUCACUUACUCCCACACAUUUCAGGCUGGCUGAAUUCAAGAAUCCAACUAUUUUCAGGGUGGGUGGUAACCUGCUCAAAAAAAAAAAAAAAAAAAAACAUGCAUUUUUAUCACAUACUUGGAAAACUGAUGUUUUCCAUGAGAUGAUAAUUUUGAAACAAUCUUGUUCUGCUUUAUGAGCCUGACUGUACAAAGAAGUAAAGAGGAAUUGAGAACAGACUGAUUACAGUAGGAAAUUAUUUAUUGCCAGCUGAUUUUUAACCAAUGAUGAGUGCAUCACUACUGUUAGAUUUCGGAAGAAAAAAAAACAAACUGUUGCAGCAUACAAAUGAUAUGCAGGUUACAAAGGAUGCUCCAUAUUAAAAUAGGAAAGUUAAAGCGUUAAUUUCACUGAUGAAAUUCACCUGAGACAUCUUUCCUUACCUAUAUUUUUUAUUCCAAAACACACGUGUAUUUUUCCUCCGCUUAAGCUGUAUGUACCCCGCAGCAUAUACCAUUUUUAUUUUGACACACUGAAGGUUAAAUAAAACCAAAUUUAGACUACUAUACUUCAUGAUAUUAGUUUGCAACAGAUUAUAUAGGUUGAAAACAACUUGGGCUAUGUUUUGCAGGGCUACCAACUGAGUGCCUAUACUUAAGACAUUUCUUCUGUGAUCCCAUUUUUUCCCCUUUAAGUAAAAAAGGGACAACUGGAGUGUCCUGAGAACACAAACCAAACACAGAACUGCGAACUGCCUCACCCCUCAAGACCAUCAUUCACACCAUUACCAGUUGUUAUGAAUAAGCCGAGCAGCUUCAGGAGCACCAACCAGGACCAGAAAGUUUUUCACGGGUUGCUUCACCACCAGCAGAACCCGGGCUGUCCCAAACCCCAACUUUUCCUACGUGUAGCUGCUGCGCUCCCCUUCUCGGCCAUUAACACCAUCACUGAUAGAAAUCUGCAAAGUCACUUCCAAGUAAAAACUAGUUGAUUGUAGGGAAAACAGCAGUUAGUUGAACAGUUAAAGGGCAUCCUCCAGAAACGCGCAUUUGGCCAGGAGCUGAAUUUUCAAACAUAGGUGGGAAAAACUCAGGAAUCCCCUGAUUAAGCGUUUCCCCUGCCGGAAAGGGGCUGGGAAGGCCCGACUGAUUGACAGAUCACCCAGCCAACGGCAAGAAGAGGCAGCACCUCUGUUUAGAACUCUGCCUCAAGAUUGGCCGGCUCACCCGUCAAUCUCACGGCAAGCCGCGAGCCGAUUGGCGGCGAGGCGCGGCGGGGGCGGUGCCGCCCAGCAGCGGCAGCAACAGCCUGCGCUGUGAGGGCAGCGGCGCUGUCACAUCCGCCGGGGACGGCCUCGGGGAUGCCUGAGGGGAGCGGGGCUGCGGCGCUGGGCAGCGCCCGGCUCCCACCCGGGGGACCCGGCCCCAGCCGGCGGAGGAGGUUCCGGGCACGGCUCCGCGUUGCCCUCAGGCCCGCCCGUGCCCCCUUCCCUGCUCUGGUGGAAGAAAUAAAAGCUCCCUGUAACC